rnacentral:rRNA from 1 species
UGGGGAAUAUUGGACAAUGGGCGCAAGCCUGAUCCAGCCAUGCCGCGUGUGUGAUGAAGGCCCUAGGGUUGUAAAGCUCUUUCACCGGUGAAGAUAAUGACGGUAACCGGAGAAGAAGCCCCGGCUAACUUCGUGCCAGCAGCCGCGGUAAUACGAAGGGGGCUAGCGUUGUUCGGAUUUACUGGGCGUAAAGCGCACGUAGGCGGACUUUUAAGUCUGGGGUGAAAUCCCGGGGCUCAACCCCGGAACUGUCUUUGAUACUGGAAGUCUUGAGUAUGGUAGAGGUGAGUGGAAUUCCGUGUGUAGGGGUGAAAUUCGUAGAUAUUCGGAGGAACACCAGUGGCGAAGGCGGCUCACUGGACCAUUACUGACGCUGAGGUGCGAAAGCGUGGGGAGCAAACAGG